GGCCAGUGUGGUGUAGUGGUUUGAGCACUGGACUACGACUCUGGAGACCAGGGUUCGAUUUCCUCCUUGGCCA